rnacentral:misc_RNA from 1 species
GCAAACUUGGUCAUUUAGAGGAAGUAAAAGUCGUAACAAGGUCUCCGUAGGUGAACCUGCGGAGGGAUCAUUACUGAAUGGCCGUCGUGGCCGUCCACCCCUCUCAAAACCUGUGGAAACAAGACGUGCUUCGGCGCCUCGGCGCCGUUUUCAUGCGUACAACAGUGGCUUGUGUCUGAAUUGAACGAAGAACAAAACUUUCAACAAAGGAUCUCUUGGCUCUCGCAUCGAUGAAGAACGCAGC